rnacentral:rRNA from 1 species
GUGGGGAAUAUUGGACAAUGGGCGCAAGCCUGAUCCAGCCAUGCCGCGUGAGUGAUGAAGGCCUUAGGGUUGUAAAGCUCUUUCAGUGGGGACGAUAAUGACGGUACCCACAGAAGAAGCCCCGGCUAACUUCGUGCCAGCAGCCGCGGUAAUACGAAGGGGGCUAGCGUUGUUCGGAUUUACUGGGCGUAAAGCGCACGUAGGCGGAUCGUUAAGUCGAGGGUGAAAUCCUGGAGCUCAACUCCAGAACUGCCUUCGAUACUGGCGAUCUUGAGUCCGGAAGAGGUGAGUGGAACUCCUAGUGUAGAGGUGGAAUUCGUAGAUAUUAGGAAGAACACCAGUGGCGAAGGCGGCUCACUGGUCCGGUACUGACGCUGAGGUGCGAAAGCGUGGGGAGCAAACAGGAUUAGAUACCCCUGUAGUCC